CCUACGGGGCGCAGCAGUGAGGAAUAUUGGUCAAUGGGCGAGAGCCUGAACCAGCCAAGUCGCGUGAGGGAGUACUGCCCUAUUGGUUGUAAACCUCUUUUGUCGGGGAGCAAAAGCCGGACGUGUCCGGCUGUGAGAGUACCCGAAGAAAAAGCAUCGGCUAACUCCGUGCCAGCAGCCGCGGUAAUACGGAGGAUGCGAGCGUUAUCCGGAUUUAUUGGGUUUAAAGGGUGCGUAGGCGGAUUGAUAAGUUAGAGGUGAAAUGUCCGAGCUCAACUCGGGAACUGCCUCUAAUACUGUUGAUC
rnacentral:rRNA from 1 species